rnacentral:rRNA from 1 species
CACGUAGGGGGCGAGCGUUGUCCGGAUUUAUUGGGCGUAAAGAGCUCGUGAGCGGUUCGGCAAGUCGGACGUGAAAUCUCCACGCUCAACGUGGAGGGGCCGUUCGAUACUGUCGUGACUCGAGUCCGGUAGGGGAGUGUGGAAUUCCCGGUGUAGCGGUGAAAUGCGCAGAUAUCGGGAAGAACACCCGUGGCGAAGGCGGCUCUCUGGGACGGUACUGACGCUGAGACGCGAAAGCGUGGGGAGCGAACAGG